rnacentral:rRNA from 1 species
UACGGGGGGAGCAAGCGUUGUUCGGAUUUACUGGGCGUAAAGGGCGCGUAGGCGGCCUUCUAAGUCAGACGUGAAAUCCCUCGGCUCAACCGGGGGAACUGCGUCUGAGACUGGAAGGCUUGAAUCCGGGAGAGGGAUGUGGAAUUCCAGGUGUAGCGGUGAAAUGCGUAGAUAUCUGGAGGAACACCGGGUGGCGAAGGCGGCAUCCUGGACCGGUAUUGACGCUGAGGCGCGAAAGCCAGGGGAGCAAAGCGGGG